rnacentral:sRNA from 1 species
UUAACUUUAGGGCCGCUUCUUUUGCGAGA